UUGUCUCAAAGAUUAAGCCAUGCAUGUCUAAGUAUAAGCAACUUGUACUGUGAAACUGCGAAUGGCUCAUUAAAUCAGUUAUCGUUUAUCUGAUAGUACCUUACUACAUGGAUACCUGUGGUAAUUCUAGAGCUAAUACAUGCUAAAAACCCCGACUUCAGGAAGGGGUGUAUUUAUUAGAUAAAAAACCAACGCCCUUCGGGGCUCCUUGGUGAAUCAUAAUAACUUAACGAAUCGCAUGGCCUUGCGCCGGCGAUGGUUCAUUCAAAUUUCUGCCCUAUCAACUUUCGAUGGUAGGAUAGUGGCCUACCAUGGUGGCAACGGGUAACGGGGAAUUAGGGUUCGAUUCCGGAGAGGGAGCCUGAGAAACGGCUACCACAUCCAAGGAAGGCAGCAGGCGCGCAAAUUACCCAAUCCCGAUACGGGGAGGUAGUGACAAUAAAUACUGAUACGGGGCUCUUUUGGGUCUCGUAAUUGGAAUGAGAACAAUUUAAAUCCCUUAACGAGGAACAAUUGGAGG
rnacentral:rRNA from 1 species